UUCGGUUCACCACGUGCAGUCCAAUUUCUUACAGCUAUCAAUCCGUGGCUUCUCGCCUAUUUUUUGUGCUUCAUCUUCGUCUUCAUCUUCUCAACUCCACUGUUGAUUUCUGUUGCAAUUCUUUACCUUUUCGCCUAAUUCUUUGCGCUUCUUCCAUAGUUCAUCUUGCGUACGAAUUUUAUUGGCGAGUGCCUUGCUUCUCUGUGCUUCUGUGGAAUUGUGGAUUCUCUGUUUUCCUCUUUGUGGUCUACCGUACAUUGUAUUUCUUGUAUAAACAGAAAUUAAAUUCCACAUCUGAUGGAUUCCAAAAAAACGAACGACUGGCUGCUAUGCAACUCAAACGGCGUCUGCUCACAAAAAGGAGGUGCUGUUGCUAUCUCGCUGUCUGAAAACAGAUUCUACAAGGCAUAAUCUUCUUGAAAAUCCCACUAUUGACACGCCAAUGCUGCAAACAUCAUCUUGGUACAGAGACGGUUUUCCAAAACAGACUGCACUUAUCAUCCGAGAACCUCCGGGGCUCUCUGAAAAAGAGAUAGAGUAGUCAGGAACUAUCAACAUGUAUAUAAAACAGCUAACUCUACUAAUGGCAUCUUCGUGGAUGAUGUUGUCCAACACGAAGGUCUCAGAUGAUCUCCAAACUAAAUCAGCAAAUGAGAGUGUUAUUUCUGCGUAAGCUCUUCUGUCGCGUGUACUGGCUCACGCUCUCAUUUACUUUGAAAUGGGAUUUCUCUUUGGUUCCUCCUUCAGCUUCUUCUCAUUCCCGGUGUGCUUUCCCUGCUCCUCCGUCCACUGAUUUCAGGCUGUAAGGUUAAUUGGUACUGAUAGAUGUCGGUGUGGGACUACAUUUGUGGAAGGAGAGGAUUUUAUUGGGAUCAGGACAGGCAGUGGCAAUCAGAAUUACUGCUGAUCGUUGUGCAUUUUAUAAUUGCAGAUUCCUUAGUUCGCAGGUGCAUAUAGCAAGAAAUGCCUUAGCAGCACGUAUACCGAUUAAAUACUUAGCUAAAAUUCUCUGUGGUUCCUCCUUCAGCUUUCUUUCAUUCUCGAUGUGCUUCCCUGCUCCUCCGUCCACUGAUUUCAGGCACUUCUUGCUUUUUAUGUGAUCAAUGACCUGCAGAUGAGUCUAUCUUCAAAAGCUUUGGUAUCUUUCUAAGCAUUGUUUCCAUUUAAAAUAAUAACCUUUUAUUUGAAGAGAAGGGAAGGAAAGAAACACGAUGCUAACUCUUGUUCCUGUACUUAAUUGACGUGCAUAGGGUCCCUUGUAAUUUUAUCUUAGCAAUUUUUCCUGUUACAGCAUAUCUAUUUUCUGCCUUAAACUUGUAAAGAACACAGAUCGGUGAGUAAUCAACCAUAAAGCAUCAAUUAUUAACUGAGUAGCUUAUUUAGUUUCUACUAUUCCACGACGAAGCCAAGCUCUUGAUUGUGUCAUCAACUGGGAGAAAUAGUGAAGGAGUAUGAUUUAUGAUACUUAUUCUACAAUUACAAUCUUCAUGUGCACCUCUUUCCGAUGUAAUUUAACAGGUAACUGGAGUGAGAGCAUGCAAAGUGUCUUCGUUGGCCGAGAUCUCAAUGACUCUACUUUUGUGUGCAGAUCAUUGAGGUUUAUGGCUAAAAUGAUAUGUGAGAUUACCUCAUUUAAAACUAAAAGAUUCACUCUUUUCUUAUUAACUUGUUACUGUAAUGUAAUUGACAUAGGUGUGUCACUGACAACAAAAUUCGACACAACAAUUCAAAUUGAUCCACCUUAUCCACAACGUCGGCAACUACAAGCAUGGGUCACCGAGAACCGUCAAUACUUACCUCCUUCACUCUCAGAAGUACAUCCACAUCAGGAUUUCUCAUCUCUCUUCCAAUGGAUGAAGAAGUGGUACCUAUUGCAAACAUUGACUCGCAACAAGAUGGCCAGGCAUUUACAAUUGAGGCAAAAAUAACCUUCCCCAUUGACCUUAAGAAAUUAUAUAUGUUGGUCUGUUCAAACUGCGGACAAGACGUACGCUAUCCAACCAUAAGAGAAAUUCAUUGUAUGAACUGCGACCAGAAAAAUCUGUUAGUACCCAGGUGCAGGUUUGAUGUGGAUCUCAAAGAUAACUCAGUCUCAACAAUUGGAAUAAUUAUGGAUAAAGAAGGAGAAAAACUGUUGUCCCUUACUGCAGAAGAAAUUUACAAAAGAGCUUCUGAUCCGGUGCUACUUCUAAUCAAAUCAUAAUAUGCAUAAUUCUCACUUAACAAAUAUAAAUUACUGCCUCCUAAGGUAACUAUCCACCUAUGGAAGAUGUUCAAGCUAACAUUACCAACAAAAUUUUCCAUGUUCAAGCAAAGAAAGCAUUUGCCCGUACUACAUCCACUCCUGUGUCGAAAAGGAAAGUUUUGCAGAUUCUCUUCUGUCACCAAGCACAAUCAAUAUUCACGAAGGAAACAAAAGAAAACAGAAAGCAGAGCCACCCCACGUACCUGAACAAGCUGGAUCACUCAAAAUGAAACAAAAACCUCAGAAGAACAACUGAAGGUCAUUUAUGAUUUUACGCUAGCUAUUAUAAAUUAGGUCUACUGUUAAAUCAAUAUUAUAUCACGCUUCCUCACUUUAUUUGAUGGUAUAUACUUCCCUAUUUGGAAGUACAUCUAGCAAAAGAUGCAGCUCAGAAGAUUGUUUUCCCAGCUUCUUAGAGAUAUAAUAAGUAGUAUGAUGAUGAUUCUUAUGAAUCUCUGUUUCCACUUUCUGGCUAGCAUGUAGUAGGCUUAUUGGUUAUUUUUGGUCAGCAGCUGCAUGUAGGCUCGCAAAAGUAGCUUGCUGCUCCCCGUGUGUAAAAUGGAAGACGAGUGUGUUAGAAAAUUACCUCAUGAGUAAAGAUGUUUUGGGACCAUUUAUGUACAAAGUUUUUGAGGCAUGUAUGCACAAACCAAAAAGUUAGCAGGUCCUUUCCCUGUGAGAUGUGAAAAUUAUAAAAGAGUUUGAUGGUAAGUGCUAUAUUAGAAUAUAUUAGGGAGUUAAGUUAGAAUGCAGGAAGAUAAAGUACCUGUUUUUCCACAAUAGUCAGUAGUAGCUGCCAAAAAGUAUUUCAAUGACAUUGAGGGUCAUAUGUACGGUUUAAUUUUAUAAGAACUGAAUCCUCAAAACCUCAUCAAAUGCAUUACCAAGUACUGUGCAAAAGCAUAAACUCAAAUGAUAGAUCAUUGGAGCCUCCCUCUCUAAUACAGGAAAUGGAAGAGAAAGGCGUGUUGCAUUAUUUGAAGAGGGCCCAUUUCAGUCUGUGAUUUCAAAGCUAGCAAGAACACAUUUAUGGAAGUAAGAUUUUUCCCCCUGAAUGUAUAUAAACUCAAUUGUGAUGGUACAUUCAUUGUCUUGUUCAUGAGAACUUGUAGCUAAACAUUAAAUCAAGAGAAACAGCUACGCGGCGUUUUUGUCCUUAGCGAAGGAAGGAUUUUGUUGUUCUAACAAGUAUAAAAUUGCAAAUGUUGAACUGAAAAGUAGAAGGCAGAAAUGUAAAGAUGUUAAAGAGAGGAAGAAGUUAUAAAUGAAUGACCUUCAGUUGUUUUUUUGAGGAGUUGCUGGUUCCAGUUUCUGUUUCAUUUUGAGUGAUCCAGUUUGUUCAGGUACGUGGGGUGGCUCUGCUUUCUGUUUUCUUUUGUUUCCUUCGUGAAUAUUGAUUGUGCUUGGUGACAGAAGAGAAUCUGCAAAACUUUCCUUUUCGACACAGGAGUGGAUGUAUAAUUUC